ACUCCAUGGUGUGGACAUUUUCGUUGCAAAUCCUUGAAUCUUUCCCAGGCAUCAUGAAGCGUUUCAUUGUCACGUUGCUUGAAACUGGUGAUGUCAGUCCUCAGCUU
rnacentral:snoRNA from 1 species